rnacentral:RNase_P_RNA from 1 species
CGAGGCGGCCGGGUGACCGCUCCGCACGAGAACUGCGGGGAGGAAAGUCCGGGCUCCACAGAGCAGGGCGCUGGGUAACGCCCAGUCAGGGCGACCUGAAGGAAAGUGCCACAGAAAUUACACCGCCGGCCCAGGCCGGUAAGGGUGAAAUGGUGCGGUAAGAGCGCACCGGCGGUCGGGUGACCGGCCGGCCAGGCAAACCCCGCCCGGAGCAAGACCAAAUAGGAGGGCGCCGCCCGCGGUGCGGGAGAAACGCUGCUCGCCGAGCCCUCGGGUCGCGGUCGCAAGAGGCGCCGGGCAACCGGCGCCCCAGAGAGAUGGUCAUCACCCCCAAGGGGCACAGAACCCGGCUUACAGGCCGCUCUCGACCA